ACGUCAAGUCCUCAUGGCCCUUACGGGCUGGGCUACACACGUGCUACAAUGGCGGUGACAAUGGGAUGCGAAGGCGCGAGCCGGAGCCGAUCCCCAAAAGCCGUCUCAGUUCAGAUUGCACUCUGCAACUCGAGUGCAUGAAGGCGGAAUCGCUAGUAAUCGCGGAUCAGCAUGCCGCGGUGAAUACGUUCCCGGGCCUU
rnacentral:rRNA from 1 species